rnacentral:rRNA from 1 species
CACGUAGGGGGCGAGCGUUGUCCGGAUUUAUUGGGCGUAAAGAGCGUGUAGGCGGUCUGGUAGGUCCGUUGUGAAAACUCGAGGCUCAACCUCGAGACGCCGAUGGAAACCCUCAGACUAGAGUCCGGAAGAGGAGAGUGGAAUUCUUGGUGUAGCGGUGAAAUGCGCAGAUAUCAGGAAGAACACCCGUGGCUAAGGCGGCUCUCUAGUACGGUACUGACGCUGAGACGCGAAAGCGUGGGGAGCAAACAGG